rnacentral:lncRNA from 1 species
UCAGAUGUUGCAAUUGUUUGUUUUGCUCUGCCUAGACAUUCUUGUGAAAGUAUAACUGCAGUCUUGACGUCUUAGCCGAUUAUUCUCCUGGUUCAAUCUCAAGGUCAGCUGCCGCUCCAUUACGUGCACAUCACCAUCGCAAAAAGCUUCCAUAGGUUUACCACCCUAUUUCCAUACUUCAUGAUAGAUCUAUCAUGGUUCUAGCUUGCAUGGUUCAAAUGCGCUGAGCUUACAAUCUGUACUGUGCGUCCGUGUCGCUGCCUUCUGUACUGCUGUCAUUCAGGACAAUGGCUGUGACUUGCUUUCCCUGGUUUAAGAGAACUGGAAAAUUACCAAAAGCGUUUCGGGAUGCACCCAAUUCUGAGGACGCUGAUUCUCCGCGGGUGCAAGCAUCUCGCAAGGCUCUAUUUGAACAAGUCCCUGCUGCCUCGCCGCCGGGUCAACACACGGCGCAAGGCGCGAGUAAUGGCUAUCGAACAUCAGCCUCCAUAAGUGACGGGAAAUUAGCGGUCACUGUGCGUAGCCAGCGUCAGC